AUUGAACGCUGGCGGCAUGCCUUACACAUGCAAGUCGAACGGCAGCACGGGAGCAAUCCUGGUGGCGAGUGGCGAACGGGUGAGUAAUAUAUCGGAACGUGCCCAGUCGUGGGGAUAACGUAGCGAAAGCUACGCUAAUACCGCAUACGAUCUAUGGAUGAAAGCGGGGGAUCGCAAGACCUCGCGCGAUUGGAGCGGCCGAUAUCAGAUUAGGUAGUUGGUGAGGUAAAGGCUCACCAAGCCGACGAUCUGUAGCUGGUCUGAGAGGACGACCAGCCACACUGGGACUGAGACACGGCCCAGACUCCUACGGGAGGCAGCAGUGGGGAAUUUUUGGACAAUGGGCGCAAGCCUGAUCCAGCAAUGCCGCGUGCAGGAUGAAGGCCUUCGGUUGUAACGU
rnacentral:rRNA from 1 species